AGACACCCUUCUGGGGCAAGACUUGCUUCAGUGGGGCUUUGGUGCUCACUGAGUCUGCCCCCUGAGUGUGACGCU
rnacentral:pre_miRNA from 1 species